GUGCUUACUUUGGUAGCACAAAUACUAAAACUGCAAUAAUUCAGAAAAGGUUAGUUUGGUCCCUGUGCAAAGAUAACAUGAACAAUUCAGCAAAUGCAUUGGUCUUU
ensembl:snRNA U6 U6 spliceosomal RNA